UACAGAGGGUGCGAGCGUUGUUCGGAAUUAUUGGGCGUAAAGGGCGCGUAGGCGGUGCGGUAAGUCACCUGUGAAAUCUCCUGGCUCAACUGGGAGCUUGCAGGCGAAACUGCCGUGCUGGAGUGUGGGAGAGGUGCGUGGAAUUCCUGGUGUAGCGGUGAAAUUCGUAGAUAUUGGGAAGAACACCGGUGGCGAAGGCGGCUCACUGGCUCAUUACUGACGCUCAGGCGCGAUAGCGUGGGGAUAAAACAGG
rnacentral:rRNA from 1 species